AGCCUACGGGAGGCAGCAGUGGGGAAUAUUGGACAAUGGGCGCAAGCCUGAUCCAGCCAUGCCGCGUGGAUGAUGAAGGCCUUAGGGUUGUAAAGUCCUUUUAACGGGGAAGAUAAUGACGGUACCCGUAGAAUAAGCCCCGGCUAACUUCGUGCCAGCAGCCGCGGUAAUACGAAGGGGGCUAGCGUUGCUCGGAAUCACUGGGCGUAAAGCGCACGUAGGCGGACUCUUAAGUCGGGGGUGAAAUCCUGGAGCUCAACUCCAGAACUGCCUUCGAUACUGAGAGUCUUGAGUCCGGGAGAGGUGAGUGGAACUGCGAGUGUAGAGGUGAAAUUCGUAGAUAUUCGCAAGAACACCAGUGGCGAAGGCGGCUCACUGGCCCGGUACUGACGCUGAGGUGCGAAAGCGUGGGGAGCAAACAGGAUUAGAUACCCCUGUAGUCU
rnacentral:rRNA from 1 species